rnacentral:rRNA from 1 species
UACAGAGGGUGCGAGCGUUAAUCGGAAUUACUGGGCGUAAAGCGUGCGUAGACGGUCAUGUAAGUCGGAUGUGAAAGCCCCGGGCUCAACCUGGGAAUUGCAUUCGAGACUGCAUGGCUUGGGUGCGGAAGAGGGAAGCGGAAUUCCCAGUGUAGAGGUGAAAUUCGUAGAUAUUGGGAAGAACACCGGUGGCGAAGGCGGCUCACUGGCUCAUUACUGACGCUCAGGCGCGAUAGCGUGGGGAUCAAACAGG